rnacentral:lncRNA from 1 species
AUUUAGCUUUGGUGGAGCUUUGUGUUAUCCACGCGUAAAAUAUAUGAUAUAUAUGUGUAUCACUUUUCAUUAGCUAGGGAAUUAAAGUUAUCAGACACAUAACAUGAAGAAAGAUUUUACAAUUUUUUCAUUUUCCAGAUGAAUCGCACGUAAAACUAGUGGGGGCCUAGUUGUAUCUUUGUUAGCUGGUCAAUUCAAACUAUUUCAUUUAGCUGUUUCUUGUCUAAAGGAAAUAUUAAAGUAUUUCAUAUAUAUAUAUAUAUAUGAUGAUAAAGAGAAAAAGAAGGGGCUUUUGAUAAAGGCAUGGAUUUAGGGGAAAGGAGGCAACAAAAAGAGGUGCAAAAGAAUCAAAGGUAUAUACAUGCAUGAAAUAAUUUGAGUUUGCUCAAAGACGUGUUUCUUUUCAAGGAUUGUUAUGUUUAAAUGCAUUCAGAUUCUAACAGUGGUGGCCCUAUCCAGAAUUUAGCCAUGGUUGAAUGCCAUUUCAUAAUGUUUAUAGGAGUCAAAAAAGGAUGUAUCAAACCUUUUUGUAGUAUUGAUUUCUUCAAGAAGUUUUUUGAUAAGCAAUCAAGUUGAAGAUCUGAAAAAUGGGAAUGUUUAGGUAGAUAAGUGAAACCAUAUCUAUCAAGUUUCUUGCUUUUUCUGUUUUCAUUUUUCUAACAUUAUAAUUUCAAUCCGUUCAGUGAAAGAUAAAGGCAGUUUCCACAGAUUUGCUAGAAAGAUUCAGAGCCAUGAAAGAGACUUGCAAUUUACAGUACAUGGGCAUUGGGAAAUCAUCCAAAUACAAAAAACUAAUAUUAUAUAACCACUUACUAACAUUUACAGGUUUUUAGGGUUGCUAAUAAAAUAUAAACAAACUUAGCAUUUUGUCAAAAAUCUCUUUUAAACACUUAAAUUGCCAUCAAAUUUCAAAAUCUCUGUCCAUGUUGCGUAAACACUUAAUUAAAAUUUUCAUAUUUCAUUUGAGAAAUACUCGAGAUAUUUUUCAAAAUCUAAAAUUCCUAUAAAUUUAGAACACGUCAACAUAUAUUUACAUUUUACACAAAAUGUCAGAAUUUCAAUGUUAUAUCAUAUAAAAUUAGUAUAACUUAAUAAAACAUAUUAUUCUCAACACAUUUACAAAACAUAAGCUUACGAUAAAAAAAAACAUUACUUUGCAACACCUACUAAUCAUUUCUAUAAACUAUUAGUUGUUUGAGAACGUAAGAAUUUUUUUCCAACUUACAAUUAAACAUAGUUUUUCACAUAACUGAAUGCAGUAUAAAAUAGAAAUUUGAUGGUGAAUGCAUCAUAUUGUAACAUGUAAAACUCGUGUUGUAAGAGGGAAGUUAAAUAUAUUUUUAAAAUGAAAUAUGUUUAUUUCAAUACAAUUUGUCACAUGACUUAAGCAUGUUGCAACGCGGUAAAAAUAACUUUUUUUUUUCCAGAGUAAACAUAAUAAUCGUUAAACAACUUAUUGUGAAAUGAAAACGUACAUGUUGCAACAUAAUAAAAUUGAAACUUAUCUGCUUAAAUUAAAAGUAUCACUUGUUGGUCUUAUGAAAUAUGAUCAGCAGCAUCUUUUAUCGCACUGACUAACAUCAUCCCAAACAAUCAUGGUCCUAAAUGAUGCGAGAAAUUCUCAAAGAAUCUAACUGAAAUGUGUUCGACUAUGUAGGCAACUAUUUUUGGGUGGUUUGUGUUAUAUUGAAAACGUCCCUCCUACUCAUAAAGUUGGCACACUUAUUUGACAAAUAAUUGUGAUUUUUAAUUUUAGUCAAUUCAAUGCUUAAUAUCUUAUGAAUCUCAAGUAGUUAUAACAAGCUUGUAGCAAAUUUAUUUAAUCAUGUAUCAUGAAAAAUAAAAUAAUUUCAAUUCUUACCAAGAAUCUGCUUUGUAUUUAAAUAGAAACUAUAAUAGAAAUUAUACAUUUUUGUAGAUUCUACAAACUAUUUCGCUAAUCUUGUAACAUGAACAAUCACAUCUACAAUGUACAACUGUCCAAUUAUCCAACCUCCAAUGAAAAUUUAUACAAGAAACAAGAUUGGGAGAAUUAGGAUUUUCUUUUCUUGUGUUAGCAAGAAUAAUUAUGGUCACUUAUGGCUUUUUCAAACAUUAGCAACCUAUUAAAAUAAGUCCAAGUGAAUUUGGCCCGUCUCUUUACUUAAUCCGGUCCGAUAUUUAAUUAAAUCAAUAAAAUAAUUUUGGAUCUAUUAACAAGCAACCUACUUGAUUAAUUGUCCGACACUUGUCAAUUAGUUAAUUGAUGAAGCUCAUUCUUCUAGUUUUUUCCUUAGUGUGUGACCCAUUAGGCUCCCAAUUACGGUGCCUAACAAUGUGAAUUAUUGUUUUGAUAUAAUUAAAAUCAAUAACUUAAAAUACUCAUUUUUAAUUUAUCAUUAAUUCACAUUCGUUAUCUCAAAUUGACAUAUAGCAAUGUAUCAGGACAAUACAUGUGAUAAAAAUGUCACAUAUGACAAAAUCAGACUUGUUCGUUUACCGUGAAACUAUAAUUAUUUUGUCAUUAUGAUCCGAUCAAUUACGAGAUAUGAAUAUGUAUCAAUCUUGAUUAUCGAUCAUAUAUUUCAUUCACUAUUAAGUCAAUAUAAGUUGGAAGCUCCUUUUCGACUUAUGAGUACACUUAGCCAAAGAUUUUGUUUUUAACUUAAUUGAAUGAAAUGUAGAUCAUAAUCUCUCACUAUUUAAGAGUGACGAAUCAUUUAUUGAUUAUUCAUAACUUUCAUGUGAUUCUUGACAUACCCGAAUGAUACCAUAUUAACAGCCCUUGGUGGAGUAGCAUUUAACUUUACCAAAGUAUAACCGUCAUCAUAGAAGGUACUAUGAUGACCUCAAAUUGAAGGACAAAUUCAACUACUGAACGUUAGAGAUUAACUACUAACACUCAGAUAGUUAAUCGUGUGGAAUUUUCCUGGCGGAUCUCCAAUAUUUUCUUCUACAACAAAACAUUACGUGUUUAUUUAAGUGUCACCACACUUUAAUUAGUGAAAUCAGCUAAUUACUUCACAAGUAAAAAAUGUCAUUCGUGAUAGUCUAUCAGUAAUAACGAAAUCCGCAUCUCGCUAUUACUUACUACCAUUGAUGAUUUAAGAUUCAAUUAUAUGUAAUUUAUAUUUCACAAUCACAACUUCUUGUGAUUAUUACCAAAACUUGAAUUUACAGAAUCUAUUAUUUAAUUUAAUAGAGUAUUAAUUAAAUAAUAGAAGUAUUAUAAAAUUACAUCAAUUGUAUAUUAAAAGUGCUUAUAUUCAAAGUUGAUUGGAUCUAUGAUAUAACACUUACAAAACUCUCCUAUAAUUUUAGUGAACUUCAUAUUAAUUAUUGGAUUUACUAAAAUUAAAGGUUAUGAUUAUUUGUCAAAUAAGUGUGUCAAACUUAUAAGUAGGAGGAACGGUCCUCGUAUUAUAUUAGCUGUGCAAUUACAUAAAUAUUAAUAUUACUUUUAAGGGCUUGGUUGUUACAUUUCAUCGUUGUAUUAUUUUGGUCCCCUUUUGUUCUUUUCCUACUACGCCCAAAUCCUACUGUUUUGUUCAAUUAAGGACAUAACUCAAUAAUUUAUUUCUAUUCGAUAAAGAGAAAAAGAAGGGGCUUUUGAUAAAGGCAUGGAUUUAGUGGAAAGGAGGCAACAAAAAGAGGUGCAAAAGAAUCAAAGGUACAUACAUGCAUGAAAUAUUUUGAGUUUGCUCAAAGACAUGUUUCUUUUCAAGGAUUGUUAUGUUUAAAUGCAUUCAGAUUCUAACAGUGGUGGCCCUAUCCAGAAUUUAGCCAUGGUUGAAUGCCAUUUCAUAAUGUUUAUAGGAGUCAAAAAAGGAUGUAUCAAACCUUUUUGUAGUAUUGAUUUCUUCAAGAAGUUUUUUGAUAAGCAAUCAAGUUGAAGAUCUGAAAAAUGGGAAUGUUUAGGUAGAUAAGUGAAACCAUAUCUAUCAAGUUUCUUGCUUUUUCUGUUUUCAUUUUUCUAACAUUAUAAUUUCAAUCCGUUCAGUGAAAGAUAAAGGCAGUUUCCACAGAUUUGCUAGAAAGAUUCAGAGCCAUGAAAGAGACUUGCAAUUUACAGUACAUGGGCAUUG